GGACGGGGCCCGCACAAGGCGGUGGAGCAUGUGGUUUAAUUCGAUGCAACGCGAAAAACCUUACCCACCUUUGACAUGGCAGGAAUCCUGAAGAGAUUUGGGAGUGCUCGAAAGAGAACCUGCACACAGGUGCUGCAUGGCUGUCGUCAGCUCGUGUCGUGAGAUGUUGGGUUAAGUCCCGCAACGAGCGCAACCCUUGCCAUUAGUUGCUACGAAAGGGCACUCUAAUGGGACUGCCGGUGACAAACCGGAGGAAGGUGGGGAUGACGUCAAGUCCUCAUGGCCCUUAUAGGUGGGGCUACACACGUCAUACAAUGGCCGGUACAGAGGGUAGCCAACCCGCGAGGGGGAGCCAAUCCCACAAAGCCGGUCGUAGUCCGGAUCGCAGUCUGCAACUCGACUGCGUGAAGUCGGAAUCGCUAGUAAUCGCGGAUCAGCAUGUCACGGUGAAUACGUUCCCGGGUCUU
rnacentral:rRNA from 1 species